rnacentral:rRNA from 1 species
AACGAACGCUGGCGGCAUGCCUAACACAUGCAAGUCAAACGAGAUCUUCGGGUCUAGUGGCGCACGGGUGCGUAACGCGUGGGAAUCUGCCCUUUGGUUCGGAAUAACAGUUGGAAACGACUGCUAAUACCGGAUGAUGACGAAAGUCCAAAGAUUUAUCGCCAGAGGAUGAGCCCGCGUAGGAUUAGCUAGUUGGUGUGGUAAAGGCGCACCAAGGCGACGAUCCUUAGCUGGUCUGAGGGGAUGAUCAGCCACACUGGGACUGAGACACGGCCCAGACUCCUACGGGGGGCAGCAGUGGGGAAUAUUGGACAAUGGGCGAAAGCCCGAUCCAGCAAUGCCGCGUGAGUGAUGAAGGCCUUAGGGUUGUAAAGCUCUUUUACCCGGGAUGAUAAUGACAGUACCGGGAGAAUAAGCACGGCUAACUCCGUGCCAGCCGCCGCAGUAA